UUUAAAGUCUAAUCUGCCCUAUGAGGAUUUAAAUGGCCGCGGUAUUUUGACCGUGCAAAGGUAGCAUAAUAAUUAGUUUUUUAAUUGAAAGCUGGAAUGAAUGAUUGAACGAGAAAAUAGCUGUCUCGAUUUAAUUUUAUUAGAAUUUUAUUUUUAAGUAAAAAAGCUUAGAUAGGUUUAAAAGACGAGAAGACCCUAUAGAGUUUAAUAAUUAAUUAAUUAUUGAUUUUUUAGUAUUAUUUUACUAUUAAUUAGUUAAUUAUUUUAUUGGGGUGAUAGAAAAAUAUAUUUAACUUUUUUUUUGUUUAUUACAUUAAUUUAUGAUUUUUUGAUCCAUUAUUUAUGAUUAUAAGAUUAAGUUACCUUAGGGAUAACAGCGUAAUUUUUUUUUAGAGUUCUUAUCGAAAGAAAAAAUUGCGACCUCGAUGUUGGAUUAAAAUUAA
rnacentral:rRNA from 1 species